UUCAUAUUUAAGUUUCAAGUACAAUGCUGUCAAUAUUAUAACUACAUAAAUCUCAAAUAAUUUGUUUCUAUUCAUGGGUCAUCAGUUCCAUCUAGCGGUGAAUUAAUAGCAACGCAACACGUGGUGGAUGACUGUAGUUGUCAAGUAUCCUUCCUUUGAAGAGAGAAUGUAGUCAAUUAUUUCUUUGAAUUGAAUUUUUUUGGGGUUCAUUUUAAAGAGGAUCUGUUUUUUCUCUGGCUUUCUUCGGUUCUAUUGAAGCUUCAGUCGUCUUCGUUUUCACAUUGGUGCUCUCAGACUUAAAUGCUUUGCAUUAUGAAUAGUAUUUUGAGUACUACCUAUAGUAGCACUAUAGUGGUACCAUAUAGUUUCACUGACUUUAGGUGGCCUGUUAUUACAAGUGAACAAGGUCACAGUGAAGGUCAAAACAGUGAUGGGGAAACCUUUGUUCUCAAAAUACCAGGCUAAGGAAACCACUAACUACUAAAAGUAGCGUGUUAGGAACACCAUGUUCAGGUGGUUCAUUUAACCAUAUCCACGGUAAUCACAGGGAGAGGGGAUGUCACUGGUACUCGCAGAUGUUUGGACCUCUCCCUCCAGUCCUUAUGGACCAGGGGAUUCUGACCAUGAGGGAUGUAGGGAGACUCUUAAACCAGGUUUACAAAGUUUUUAUAAAAAGUCAGAGUGGACUCUCAGUCACCCUGCUUAUUGUUUCUGAAGGAAGCUGAAUAUUUACAUCUGGACUUACCUUCAACAUACAAUGUUUUUUUUUCUUGACAGCCCAGAUUGACCAAAUACGAAAACAGCUGUGUCAACUUUUCAAGCAAGUACUAGAUACGACUUUAUGAAAGUGUUGUGUUUAAUAGUGAAACAAACCAAAGGCAAAUUCCAGUUCUUGCAAUAUCAAUAAACCGAUCCAUGUAUGAAAGGGACCGAAUGAUUGUACUUGGUUGAGGAGCUUUGAUGUAGAGGGUCUUGCCUGAGAAUUGAACCUGCAACUGUCUGGUUGAAAGACAAACCCUGUGCCCACAGUCCAUGAUUAAAAGACUUUUUGAUACUGAUUCCACUUGAAUGUUGUAACUGCUUAAAGAAAAGAGUUUGGAUUUUCCAGGGAAAAAAAAGAAAAAGAAAAACACAACUAGAUAUUCCAUUUGAACCAGAUGAAAUAUCAUUCCAUGCCAACGCAGAGGUUUCUGGGAUGGCAUCAUAUCAUCUCAUCAAAUCCAUAACACAUUUUCCCAGUCGUGACAGCUGCUUUUGAUUUUAGGUAGUGGAGAGCUGUUCUCACAGUGUCCUCCCUGGUAUUUGAAAACAUCCUUAUGUAAUGUUAAAACCCAUUUCACAGUUAUUUUCACUUUGUUUCUCCUAUCGCGGUAGUUGCGCUCCAAGACCCACCGCGAAAAGGGAAAAUCCGCAAGGAAGGACCGAGAUGGUUUUUAUAUUAUUUCCGUAUAUAUUUACACUCCACGAACCUCCACCACACUGUUAUCAACCCUCUCUAGAUUGUUUCACCCAUCCCCACACAGUAGAGUUGUAUUAUGGAAAUGUUAGACAUGCAUAUUACGUAAAUAAAUUAAAUACAACACCCGGCGGAGGUUUUCGCUAAGCCGCAGGAGAGACAGCACGGCGACGUAGUAGCAACACAGUCCAGGCCGCAGGUGUGCGCAAUUGGAGUAAUCAAGCCGGGACCAAGGAGAGUGAACAGAAGCAGGGUUUGAGCGGCUGCAGCUUGAGGCCUUCACUGUCUGAGGAAGCCUCGAAAAUAGAAAUAGCCAAAGCCCUGCAAUUAUUCCAUCUGAGGCCUUGAAAUAUGGAUGACAGAAACGGGCUGUCAGAUGGCAGAUCUGGCCUUUUCUCAGAAACCACCACCACCACCAUUACCAGCACCUUCACCAGCACAUCUCCACCCUCCAGUAUGUGUGGCUCCUGCUACUAAAACCUGUAAUCACCAAAUGUUCCGAAUAAAA